rnacentral:lncRNA from 1 species
CACGGAAUGCCACUUCCCCUGCUUACCCAUUUGGCCUGGGUUGGGAGAUGAACUUGAUUUAAGGGCACCACCUGGACCUGUGCUUUGGUUUCUUGCUUUUCUACUUAAGGUCAGGGAAGGUGACUCCUCGGCAUAUGUUACUCUCAUCGAAGAUUCUGCGUCUACUUUAGUCAGCUUUCUCUCAGCCAAGCCCCUUUGGUUUUCGUGCCAAUAAAAUGGACAAGUGUUCUUUCUUGCUGA